CUCUUCGGUGUCUCCUUCAUUCUCUACUCAUGCCUGAUCCUGGAAGAAGAAGAAGCGGAAGAAGAAGAAGCAGAAGAAAAAGAGGAAGAAGAAGAAGAGGUACAAGUCUGUAGCUCUGAAAUCCUUACACCACAGUUCCACAUCAUGCGGCCACAGGAACAAAACAAAAUGAUGCAGCCCACUGAUAAAAGGGAGUAUCCUGCAGUCAUUCGUUUUCUGCCUUUGAAGGAGAAAAACAGUGCAAGAAUCCAUUGUAAGUGAAUGGAAGUGCAUGAUGACAAUGCAUCAUCAUACGGACCAGUCGUUAGGUGGCACAGAGGUUUCCAUUGUGAUCAAACAAGUCCGAAUGAUGAAGACAGAAGUUGCACACUAUCUAUUUUUGCAGAUCAGGGAAUUGUGUGAGACAUGGAGGAUCCAGUGCUGGAAGAUCGGAGUAUUGCAAUUGAGGUGAUGAUCCAAAAAAAAAAAAAGGGAAAAUCAAUUGUGCAUCAGUUUUCAACAUCUAGCACAACAUUUUGAUUAUAACAGACAUAGUUUUCUGUUAGUCUUCUUAUACAAUUAAUCAA